rnacentral:rRNA from 1 species
GACAGAGGGGGCAAGCGUUGCUCGGAAUCACUGGGCGUAAAGGGCGCGUAGGCGGGAUGGCAAGUCAGUCGUGAAAUCUCUCGGCUCAACCGAGAAACGUCGGCUGAUACUGCCGUUCUUGAGGGAUGCAGAGGAGACUGGAAUUCCCGGUGUAGCGGUGAAAUGUGUAGAGAUCGGGAGGAACACCGGUGGCGAAGGCGGGUCUCUGGGCAUUUUCCUGACGCUGAGGCGCGAAAGCGUGGGGAGCAAACGGG